GCCCGGAUGGCGAAAUCGGUAGACGCGUUAGUUUCAGGGACUAGUGUAAGCAAUUACGUGCAGGUUCGAGUCCUGUUCCGGGUA
rnacentral:tRNA from 1 species